rnacentral:rRNA from 1 species
GACGAACGCUGGCGGCGUGCCUAAUACAUGCAAGUAGAACGCACAGGAUGCACCGUAGUUUACUACACCGUAUUCUGUGAGUUGCGAACGGGUGAGUAACGCGUAGGUAACCUGCCUGGUAGCGGGGGAUAACUAUUGGAAACGAUAGCUAAUACCGUAUAAGAACAUUUACUGCAUGGUAGAUGUUUAAAAGGUGCAAGAGCAUCACUACCAGAUGGACCUGCGUUGUAUUAGCUAGUUGGUGAGGUAACGGCUCACCAAGGCAACGAUACAUAGCCGACCUGAGAGGGUGAUCGGCCACACUGGGACUGAGACACGGCCCAGACUCCUACGGGAGGCAGCAGUAGGGAAUCUUCGGCAAUGGGGGGAACCCUGACCGAGCAACGCCGCGUGAGUGAAGAAGGUUUUCGGAUCGUAAAGCUCUGUUGUUAAGGAAGAACGUGUGUGAGAGUGGAA